rnacentral:rRNA from 1 species
GAAUCGCUAGUAAUCGCGGAUCAGCACGCCGCGGUGAAUACGUUCCCGGGCCUUGUACACACCGCCCGUCACACCAUGGAAGUCUGCAAUGCCCGAAGCCGGUGGCCUAACCACUUAUGUGGAAGGAGCCGUCUAAGGCAGGGCAGAUGACUGGGGUGAAGUCGUAACAAGGUAGC